rnacentral:rRNA from 1 species
UGGGGAAUUUUGGACAAUGGGCGAAAGCCUGAUCCAGCCAUGCCGCGUGAGUGAAGAAGGCCUUCGGGUUGUAAAGCUCUUUCGGCCGGAACGAAAUCGCACGAGCUAAUACCUCGUGUGGAUGACGGUACCGGAGUAAGAAGGACCGGCUAACUACGUGCCAGCAGCCGCGGUAAUACGUAGGGUCCGAGCGUUAAUCGGAAUUACUGGGCGUAAAGCGUGCGCAGGCGGUUUUGUAAGCCAGAUGUGAAAUCCCCGGGCUUAACCUGGGAAUGGCAUUUGGGACUGCAAGGCUAGAGUGCGGCAGAGGGGGGUAGAAUUCCACGUGUAGCAGUGAAAUGCGUAGAUAUGUGGAGGAAUACCGAUGGCGAAGGCAGCCCCCUGGGUCGACACUGACGCUCAUGCACGAAAGCGUGGGGAGCAAACAGGAUUAGAUACCCCGGUAGUCC